GAUUAACGCUAGCGGCAGGCAUAAUACAUGCAAGUUGAACGGCAGCACAGGUAGCAAUACUGGGUGGCGAGUGGCGCACGGGUGCGUAACACGUAUGCAACCUACCCUAUACAGGCGAAUAACCUUUAGAAAUGAGGGCUAAUACGCCGUAGUAUUACAGAUGGGCAUCUAUUUGUAAUUAAAGAUUUAUCGGUAUAGGAUGGGCAUGCGUCCCAUUAGUUAGUUGGUAAGGUAACGGCUUACCAAGACGAUGAUGGGUAGGGGAUCUGAGAGGACUUACCCCCACACUGGUACUGAGACACGGACCAGACUCCUACGGGAGGCAGCAGUAAGGAAUAUUGGGCAAUGGCCGCGAGGCUGACCCAGCCAUGCCGCGUGCAGGAAGACGGCCUUAUGGGUUGUAAACUGCUUUUAUACGGGAAUAGUAGAGUGUACGCGUACAUUUAUGCAAGUAUCGUAUGAAUAAGCAUCGGCUAACUCCGUG
rnacentral:rRNA from 1 species